UACGUAGGGGGCAAGCGUUGUCCGGAUUUAUUGGGCGUAAAGAGCUCGUAGGUGGUUCGGUAAGUCGGAUGUGAAAUCUCCAGGCUCAACCUGGAGGGGUCAUUCGAUACUGCCGUGGCUAGAGUUCGGUAGGGGAGACUGGAAUUCCUGGUGUAGCGGUGAAAUGCGCAGAUAUCAGGAGGAACACCGGUGGCGAAGGCGAGUCUCUGGGCCGAUACUGACGCUGAGGAGCGAAAGCGUGGGGAGCGAACAGG
rnacentral:rRNA from 1 species